AAAAAAAAAAAGUAUUUUCGUAUUUUCGUAUUUUCAUUAAAUCUGGAAAUAUUUUCCUUUUUAAAAUGAUUUUUAGGUUUUAAAUAGUGUGCCCAAGGCCCACCCCUGAUUUGUCCUCCGUUCCCUUCCCUUUUCUUUUAUCUCUCUGAAAAGUCUCUCUCUCCUCUCUCAGUUCUCUCUUCUCUCUUUCUCCCUCUGUGAUCUCUCCCUUCUGUCUCUCUCUCGAAACCCUCUCACCCUCCGAUCCACCCACACGCACAUCCUUACCAUUUACCUGCAACACCAUCACCAUCACCCUUGCGAACUAAGAUUCAGAGAAAGAACACCACAAACCCUUCUCUUCCUUUCGACUGGUACUGUUCAUCAUCUUCUCCGUCGUGUUUCAUAUUUUUCCGACGUUGUGAAGCUGAACAAGACUGUUGCCACGAAGAAACAUGUUGCCGUGAGAUUACCUUCAAUUGAAAAUAUGCAAGACGGCAUCGUGCGAUUAUUAUUGUCUAGAGGAAUGCGGGCAAAGUGGUUCUUGCAUAGUUAAGGAAGUCCGUGGACUUUACCUUCCACGCUGUCGUUGCUGCACUGUACCUUCUCCUCCUCCUCCUCCCGGUGGAGAAAUCCAAGGAUCUUUUUCUCCGCGCCCCGUUUAUUCGCCAGAGGAUAAAUAACAUUUCAGUGCCGACAGAUCGUGCAGGAUGACAUGAUUGGAAUGCUAAUAAUAAUUUCAUAAAUAACUUUGGUAAAAAAUUAUAUUGUCAUCCUUUUCAAUUUUGAUGUACAAAGUGAUGCCGUUAUCAAUAAUAAAAGUACAUAAUUAAAAGGGGUUUUUCAA